CAACCCUAAUUGUUUCUAUAUAAGUGUGUCUAGCUCUCUACUCAUUCUGAAGAGAGAAAUGAAAUUGAAGUACUUCUGAGAAUUGCAUCACUUAGCUUGAGAUUUGGGGUGAACUAGAAAGAGGAGUAGAAGAAGAAAGGGGGAAACAAAAACACCAAUGGAUCUUGGAUUUAAGAUGGGUUUCGUAUGGGAACGUGGUGGCGGAGACUCCAAAAAUCUGAAUCAAGUGGCAGCAGCAUGAUAAUAUCUCCUCUCAAAAAUUGCUUCUCUAAGCACUGUCGGAGCUAGUGAGGUUGUUUUGAGUUUUUCUUGCACUUCGUCUCCAAUGGCAUAGAUUCCUACUCCACUUUUAUGCAGUGAGCGAAUUUCUUUCUCACUUUCCCAGAUGAAGCUAUUUGGGAGAGUAUGGAUGUACUUGCAUUUCUGAUAGUUGUUUGAAGAUUUCCAACAACUUUAUCAAAGCAUCCACCACUUCCGGCAACAUCAAACUCUAGGCAGAGACAGAGUGCAAAACCACUACUAGCAAAGCCUUAAUUACAUAUCAAAUAACAAUUCAGAAUAUGUAAUUAUAUUAUUCACAAGCAUUAUGUAAGAUUAUGAUUUUUCCUCUCUAAACAAUUGUAAAUGAUUUAUAAUAAUCAUAACCAUAUAUAUGCCAUGGACUUCUGCAAUUAAUUUCCUAA